AUGCUUCCGCUCCUCCUUAUAUCCACGCUCCCGGCCUUCACGCUGCUCCUCGUCGCGCCCGCCUCCUGCAAGCCCUGGAAGCUGGUGCGGGAGCUCGGCCUCGUCGCGCUGCUGCUGGCGCGGGAGCUGCUCCGGCACUCCGCCUCCGCCGCCGCGGGCGCGGGCAGGAAGGAGCAGCAGGGCGCCAGAAUGCCGCCGUCCAAGCCCAAGACGCCGCCGCCCGCAUUGGCGGAGGGCGACGCGGACGCGCUCCCGGUGCUCGACCUGCCGGAGCUGGCGCUGGAGCGCGUGCUGGAGGAGCUGUCCCCGGCGUCGCUCGCCGCGAUGGCGUGCGUCUGCGCGGGGCUCAGGGACCGCUGCUCCAUGGACGGCCUGUGGGCGCGCCACGUCCGGCGCAAGUGGGGCCGCGUGCUCGGCGCCGCCGCGCGCAGGGAGUGGCAGGCGGAGCUGGCCGCCAGAGCGGCCGCCGCCGCCCUCCCGCGCCCGGCCAGGCGGCGCGGCCUGGCGGACUCGCUGGCGUGCGCGUGGCCCUUCUCCUGGAUCGGGCGGCGCUGGCUCAAGGAAGACGCCGCCGCCGCCGCCCGCUCCGCACCCGCGCCGCCGGCGGACACGGUGGCCGCGUGGUACCGCGCGCUCGAGUGCGGCGACUUCUGGUUCCCCGCCCAGGUGUACAACCGCGAGCAGGACGGGCACGUCGGGUUCUUGCUCUCGUGCUACGACGCUCACCUCCGCUACGACCGGCGAACCGACACCUUCACCGCCAGGUACCCGCCCCACGGCCGGAAGCCGGCCAAGGAGGAGGAGGGCGUGCCGUGGUGCAGGGUCCGCGCGGCGCCGCUGAGCACGCCGGCGCAGGACCUCCACGCCUCGGCCUGCCUGGAGGACCUCCGCCCCGGCGACCACUUCGAGAUCCAGUGGCGGAAGAACAAGGACUUCCCCUACGGCUGGUGGUACGGCGUCGUGGGUCACCUGGAGCCGUGCAACGCCAACGAGCAUCUCUGCCGCUGCCAUGAAGAUGAUACGAUCAUGCUGGAGUUCAAGCACUACGCGGCCGGGUCGAGGUGGAGGCAGACGACGGUGAGCAGGAAAGACCACCGGGAGAAAGGGGACGAGACGGACGGCUUCUACGGCGGCAUCAGGAAGCUCCAGACCAAAGACGAGAUCUCAACGUGGCGGAGAUUCUGGCCGGUGGACGUGCUCAGCUGA
rnacentral:rRNA from 1 species